rnacentral:rRNA from 1 species
UACGGGGGGAGCAAGCGUUGUUCGGAUUUACUGGGCGUAAAGGGCGCGUAGGCGGCCUGUGCAAGUCAGUUGUGAAAUCUCCGGGCUCAACUCGGAACGGUCAACUGAUACUGCUCGGCUAGAGUGCGGAAGGGGCAACUGGAAUUCUUGGUGUAGCGGUGAAAUGCGUAGAUAUCAGGAGGAACACCGAUGGCGAAGGCAGGUCUCUGGGCCACUACUGACGCUGAGAAGCGAAAGCAUGGGGAGCGAACAGG